rnacentral:rRNA from 1 species
UACGGAGGGUGCGAGCGUUGUCCGGAAUCACUGGGCGUAAAGGGCGCGUAGGCGGCCUGAUAAGUAGGGGGUGAAAUCCUGCGGCUUAACCGCAGGGCUGCCUUCUAAACUGUCAGGCUAGAGCACAGUAGAGGCAGGUGGAAUUCCCGGUGUAGCGGUGGAAUGCGUAGAGAUCGGGAAGAACAUCAGUGGCGAAGGCGGCCUGCUGGGCUGUUGCUGACGCUGAGGCGCGACAGCGUGAGGAGCAAACAGG